UUGAUAGACCUGAAUGAGGUAUUAAAAUUUAAGCGAUUGUAAUUGAACGGGAUUUGAUGAUACUCCCUUUGUUGAAUAUGACGUCCGGAACGAGUUAAUCUUGCAUCAUCAUAAUCGAAGUCAUCAUCAGAGGAGUCAUCACUUUCUUAUGCCUCCUUGCACUUGUACUUGCUCCACCAAUACGUCCUCCUUGAGCACUUAUUUGUGCUCCUUGUGGCACCACCGGUUGUUGAGAGGCGUUUGGGUUGGAGACAUCACCUCAUAGAGGCACUUCUUGAUUCCCC
rnacentral:lncRNA from 1 species